GAUGAACGCUGGCGGCGUGCCUAAUACAUGCAAGUCGAGCGAACAGACGAGGAGCUUGCUCCUCUGACGUUAGCGGCGGACGGGUGAGUAACACGUGGAUAACCUACCUAUAAGACUGGGAUAACUUCGGGAAACCGGAGCUAAUACCGGAUAAUAUAUUGAACCGCAUGGUUCAAUAGUUAAAGACGCUUUUGCUGUCACUUAUAGAUGGAUCCGCGCCGCAUUAGCUAGUUGGUAAGGUAACGGCUUACCAAGGCAACGAUGCGUAGCCGACCUGAGAGGGUGAUCGGCCACACUGGAACUGAGACACGGUCCAGACUCCUACGGGAGGCAGCAGUAGGGAAUCUUCCGCAAUGGGCGAAAGCCUGACGGAGCAACGCCGCGUGAGUGAUGAAGGUCUUCGGAUCGUAAAACUCUGUUAUUAGGGAAGAAAAAAUGUGUAAGUAAAUAUGCACGUCUUGACGGUACCUAAUCAGAAAGCCACGGCUAACUACGUG
rnacentral:rRNA from 1 species